rnacentral:rRNA from 1 species
GUGGGGAAUAUUGGACAAUGGGCGAAAGCCUGAUCCAGCCAUGCCGCGUGUGUGAAGAAGGCCUUCGGGUUGUAAACUGCUUUUGUACGGAACGAAACGGUCCUGGCUAAUAUCCGGGGCUAAUGACGGUACCGUAAGAAUAAGCACCGGCUAACUACGUGCCAGCAGCCGCGGUAAUACGUAGGGUGCGAGCGUUAAUCGGAAUUACUGGGCGUAAAGCGUGCGCAGGCGGUGCUGUAAGACAGGCGUGAAAUCCCCGGGCUCAACCUGGGAAUUGCGCUUGUGACUGCAGUGCUGGAGUGCGGCAGAGGGGGAUGGAAUUCCGCGUGUAGCAGUGAAAUGCGUAGAUAUGCGGAGGAACACCGAUGGCGAAGGCAAUCCCCUGGGCCUGCACUGACGCUCAUGCACGAAAGCGUGGGGAGCAAACAGGAUUAGAAACCCCUGUAGUCC